rnacentral:rRNA from 1 species
CAACCUGCCGAUGACUCGGGGAUAGCCUUUCGAAAGAAAGAUUAAUACCCGAUGGCAUAGUUCUUCCGCAUGGUGGAACUAUUAAGGAAUUACGGUCAUCGAUGGGGAUGCGUUCCAUUAGGUUGUUGGCGGGGUAACGGCCCACCAAGCCUUCGAUGGAUAGGGGUUCUGAGAGGAAGGUCCCCCACAUUGGAACUGGGACACGGUCCAAACUCCUACGGGGGGCAGCAGUGAGGAAUAUUGGUCAAUGGACGAGAGUCUGAACCAGCCAAGUAGCGUGAAGGAUGACUGCCCUAUGGGUUGUAAACUUCUUUUAUACGGGAAUAAAGUGAGGCACGUGUGCCUUUUUGUAUGUAUCGUAUGAAUAAGGAUCGGCUAACUCCGAGCCAGCAGCCGCGGUAAUACGGAGGAUCCGAGCGUUAUCCGGAUUUAUUGGGUUUAAAGGGAGCGUAGGCGGACGCUUAAGUCAGUUGUGAAAGUUUGCGGCUCAACCGUAAAAUUGCAGUUGAUACUGGGUGUCUUGAGUACAGUAGAGGCAGGCGGAAUUCGUGGUGUAGCGGUGAAAUGCUUAGAUAUCACGAAGAACUCCGAUUG